rnacentral:misc_RNA from 1 species
CUGCGGAAGGAUCAUUAUUGAUAAUUAUUAUUUGUGGAAUUACAACGAUAUUAACAAUCAUUAUAUAAUCAACGAUUAUUAAUCAAAACUUUUAACAAUGGAUCUCUUGGUUCUCGUAUCGAUGAAGAACGCAGCGAAACGCGAUAUUUCUUGUGAAUUGCAGAAGUGAAUCAUCAGUUUUUGAACGCACAUUGCACUUUGGGGUAUCCCCCAAAGUAUACUUGUUUGAGCGUUGUUUCUCUCUUGAAAUUGCAUUGCUUUUUUAAAAAAUUGAAUCAAAUUCGUUUGAAACAUCAUCUUCAACCUCAGAUCAAGUAGGAAUACCCGCUGAACUUAAGCAUAUC